ACGAGGGAUGACCGGGUAAAGCGGGCCGAGACAAACAAGACAAACCGGUCCAAACAGGCGGUGGGGACUCAGGGUCGGCGAUCUAUUUCUCUUGCCCACGAUCGGGCGUUGGCCAAGCACCAUAACGAAAAGAAGGAGGGGCCACCGCCCACGUGGGAGUCGACUUGGGCGGCAACCCACAGACUACAACCUCCGGAAGUUGCGUCCCGUCUGGAAGCUGCGCAGGAGAGACAUUCACAGGAUCCUGCACCGACACCUCCAACCUAGUUGUUCCCGGAAGCGUUUGGAUCGCGAUCCGGACAUCAGCGCGGACUAGGGAGGAUUCU